GACGAACGCUGGCGGCGUGCUUAACACAUGCAAGUCGAACGAAGAGCGACGGAAGCUUGCUUCUAUCAAUCUUAGUGGCGAACGGGUGAGUAACGCGUAAUCAACCUGCCCUUCAGAGGGGGACAACAGUUGGAAACGACUGCUAAUACCGCAUACGAUCUAACCUCGGCAUCGAGGAUAGAUGAAAGGUGGCUUCUACAUGUAAGCUAUCACUGAAGGAGGGGAUUGCGUCUGAUUAGCUAGUUGGAGGGGUAACGGCCCACCAAGGCGAUGAUCAGUAGCCGGUCUGAGAGGAUGAACGGCCACAUUGGGACUGAGACACGGCCCAGACUCCUACGGGAGGCAGCAGUGGGGAAUCUUCCGCAAUGGACGAAAGUCUGACGGAGCAACGCCGCGUGAGUGAUGACGGCCUUCGGGUUGUAAAGCUCUGUUAAUCGGGACGAAAGGCCUUCUUGCGAAUAGUGAGAAGGAUUGACGGUACCGGAAUAGAAAGCCACGGCUAACUACGUG
rnacentral:rRNA from 1 species